UACGAAGGGUGCAAACGUUGCUCGGAAUUAUUGGGCGUAAAGCGCACGUAGGCGGCAUUGCAAGUCGGAUGUGAAAUCCCUCGGCUUAACCAAGGAAGUGCAUCCGAAACUGCAGUGCUUGAGUACUUAAGAGGAUCGCGGAAUUCCCGGUGUAGAGGUGAAAUUUGUAGAUAUCGGGAGGAACACCAGUGGCGAAGGCGGCGAUCUGGGAAGAUACUGACGCUGAGGUGCGAAAGCGUGGGGAGCAAACAGG
rnacentral:rRNA from 1 species